UAACACGUGGGUAACCUGCCCAGAAGUAGGGGAUAACACCUGGAAACAGAUGCUAAUACCGUAUAACAGAGAAAACCGCAUGGUUUUCUUUUAAAAGAUGGCUCUGCUAUCACUUCUGGAUGGACCCGCGGCGUAUUAGCUAGUUGGUGAGGUAAAGGCUCACCAAGGCAGUGAUACGUAGCCGACCUGAGAGGGUAAUCGGCCACAUUGGGACUGAGACACGGCCCAGACUCCUACGGGAGGCAGCAGUAGGGAAUCUUCCACAAUGGACGCAAGUCUGAUGGAGCAACGCCGCGUGAGUGAAGAAGGGUUUCGGCUCGUAAAGCUCUGUUGUUAAAGAAGAACGUGGGUAAGAGUAACUGUUUACCCAGUGACGGUAUUUAACCAGAAAGCCACGGCUAACUACGUGCCAGCAGCCGCGGUAAUACGUAGGUGGCAAGCGUUAUCCGGAUUUAUUGGGCGUAAAGCGAGCGCAGGCGGUCUUUUAAGUCUAAUGUGAAAGCCUUCGGCUCAACCGAAGAAGUGCAUUGGAAACUGGGAGACUUGAGUGCAGAAGAGGACAGUGGAACUCCAUGUGUAGCGGUGAAAUGCGUAGAUAUAUGGAAGAACACCAGUGGCGAAGGCGGCUGUCUGGUCUGCAACUGACGCUGAGGCUCGAAAGCAUGGGUAGCGAACAGGAUUAGAUACCCUGGUAGUCCAUGCCGUAAACGAUGAUUACUAAGUGUUGGAGGGUUUCCGCCCUUCAGUGCUGCAGCUAACGCAUUAAGUAAUCCGCCUGGGGAGUACGACCGCAAGGUUGAAACUCAAAAGAAUUGACGGGGGCCCGCACAAGCGGUGGAGCAUGUGGUUUAAUUCGAAGCUACGCGAAGAACCUUACCAGGUCUUGACAUCUUCUGACAGUCUAAGAGAUUAGAGGUUCCCUUCGGGGACAGAAUGACAGGUGGUGCAUGGUUGUCGUCAGCUCGUGUCGUGAGAUGUUGGGUUAAGUCCCGCAACGAGCGCAACCCUUAUUACUAGUUGCCAGCAUUAAGUUGGGCACUCUAGUGAGACUGCCGGUGACAAACCGGAGGAAGGUGGGGACGACGUCAAAUCAUCAUGCCCCUUAUGACCUGGGCUACACACGUGCUACAAUGGAUGGUACAACGAGUCGCGAGACCGCGAGGUUAAGCUAAUCUCUUAAAACCAUUCUCAGUUCGGACUGUAGGCUGCAACUCGCCUACACGAAGUCGGAAUCGCUAGUAAUCGCGGAUCAGCAUGCCGCGGUGAAUACGUUCCCGGGCCUUGUACAC
rnacentral:rRNA from 1 species